rnacentral:rRNA from 1 species
ACGAACGCUGGCGGCGUGCUUAACACAUGCAAGUCGAACGGGCCCGCUCUCUUUUUUGGGGGUGGGUUGAGUGGCGAACGGGUGAGUAUCACGUGAGUAACCUGCCCCCUGCUCCUGGAUAACUGCUUGAAAGGGCGGCUAAUACGGGGUGUGCCGGCUGGUCCGCAUGGGCCUGGUCGGGAUAGUUUCAUCUUCGGGUGUUUCGGUGGGGGAUGGGCUCGCGGCCUAUCAGCUUGUUGGUGGGGUGAUGGCCCACCAAGGCGGUGACGGGUAGCCGGCCUGAGAGGGUGGGCGGCCACACUGGGACUGAGACACGGACCAGACUCCUGCGGGAGGCAGCAGUGGGGGGUAUUGCACAAUGGGCGGAAGCCUGAUGCAGCGACGUCGCGUGAGGGAUGGAGGCCUUCGGGUUGUGAACCUCUUUCUCCGGUGGUGAAGGCCCUGUCCGUUGCGGCGGGGUUGACGGUAGCCGGGGAUGAAGCGCCGGCUAACUACGUG